rnacentral:lncRNA from 1 species
UUAAGUUUAACAUAAGAGCAUCUGAUUACGUUAGGUACUGGAUUAUAAUAUCUAAAACUAUUAAAACAUUAUGAUUCCAUUCAAUAGGUACCUGUGAAGUUUUACAUUAACAGAAAA